rnacentral:rRNA from 1 species
UUUAUGGAGAGUUUGAUCCUGGCUCAGAGUGAACGCUGGCGGCGUGCCUAAUACAUGCAAGUCGAACGAUGAAGCUUCUAGCUUGCUAGAAGUGGAUUAGUGGCGCACGGGUGAGUAACGCAUAGGUCAUGUGCCUCUUAGUUUGGGAUAGCCAUUGGAAACGAU